rnacentral:rRNA from 1 species
ACGAACGCUGGCGGCGUGCUUAACACAUGCAAGUCGAACGAGAAAGUCCUUCGGGAUGAAUAGAGUGGCGCACGGGUGAGUAAUGGAUAGGAACGUACCGAGAAGUGAGGAAUAACUACGGGAAACUGUGGCUAAUACCGCAUGAAGUCGUAAGACAAAAGUGGGCGUCCGCAAGGGGCUCACGCUUUUCGAGCGGCCUAUCUCCCAUUAGCUAGUUGGUUGGGUAAAGGCUGACCAAGGCAACGAUGGGUAGCUGGUCUGAGAGGAUGAUCAGCCACACUGGAACUGAGACACGGUCCAGACUCCUACGGGAGGCAGCAGUGGGGAAUCUUGCACAAUGGGCGCAAGCCUGAUGCAGCAACGCCGCGUGAGUGAAGAAGGUCCUUGGAUUGUAAAGCUCUUUCGGCUGGGAAGAAGAGAUUUUUGGUUAAUACCCAGAGAUUUUGACGGUACUAGAAGAAGAAGCACUGGCUAAUUCCGU